rnacentral:lncRNA from 1 species
CUUUAGAAUUAUUUUAUAUUAAUUUAUAUUUUCUUGAGAGUUUUGGUUACUAUUGUGUUUUGUUUUUAUAUAUUUUCUAUAGCUAAUAUACAUAUAUUUUCAAUAUCAAAACUAUUCAAUAUUUAUUUAGGUACUGAAGUUUGAACUCAGGAGCACUUUACUACUAAGCUACAUUCCCAUUCCUGUUUCCAUUUUUUUUUUUUUAAUUUUGAGACAGGUCUUGCUAAACUGCCCAGGCUGACCUCAAACUUGUGAACUUUCUGCCUCAGCCUCCUGAGUAACUGGACUGAAUAUCAAAGUAUUUUAAAAUUAUGCUUUGAGAGAAGGCUCUUCCAGCACCAUGCAAAGCACAGUACUCAUGUGUACCUACAAGGAAGUGAGCAUGUUGCAUUUUGAGGAAUUCAAUCAGGCUGUGAAGCAGCACAACAGACAAGACCAUUUUCUCCUACUUUACCAGUACUAAGGACCCUGAAGGGAAAAUCUAGUAUCCCUAGUGUGUGCAGGCUGAACCAGUUGUUCAAGAGGGGCUGAAGCAUAUUAAUGAAGGAUGUAUUUUCACCCACUGCCAAGAGAAAAAUCUUACUGGAGAGAUCCAAAUGAUGAUUUCAGAAAACAAUUGAAAGUACCUGCAGUGCCUACACUAAUUAAGUAUGGAAUGCCUCAAAAACUGGUAGAAUCUGAGUUUUUUCAGGCCAAACUUAUGGACAUAUUGUUGUCUAGAAGAUGAUGGUAGAGAUGGAAGAUGAUAGGAGAGCCAGGUAUGGUGACACAUGCCUAUAAUCCCAGUGGCUCAGGAGGCAGAGGCAGGAGGAUUGUAAAUUCGAGACCUCUCUCAGCAAAUUAGUGAAGCCCUAGGUAUUUAGCAAGACUGCCUCUCAAAAUAAAAGAUCAAAAGGAAGGAUUGGGGAUGUGGCUCAAUGCUUAAGCCACCCUAGGUUCAUUUCCCAGUAUCAAAAAAAAAAAUUUCAUGAUGGCAAUUGUGUCUUGAUUUCCUGGUUUGCUCUAGUAUAAAAGAGACUGCAUACUUGCUUUGAAUUUAUUUUAGCAAUAAAUAAAUGGUGAAGCCAAAAUUAGCU